rnacentral:piRNA from 1 species
UUGUUUUGAAAUUUACAGUUA